GGUAGACACCACUCGUUUUGACGUGGAGACCGUGAUUGGACAGACGACGAGCAGGAUGCGCUUUCUUGCAGUUUUGGUUCUUGUGACUUGUCUAAUGUCAUUGGCGGCAGCUAUAUGUACAUGUACAUAUAAAGCUAAUGAAGUGACCUGUUUGGUGUGCAAUAAUGCGGAACUAAAGGUAAUACGAAGACCUCCGUGCUAUAACUUCAUAAGUCCGUGUGACGAGAGGUUCUUCCCUUGUACUACGGGAUACCAGUGCAUUGUUGGAUGCAACUGCACUGCGAUCUGCAUUAAAGACAAUGAAUGCUUCUAAUGCAGCAAGAGACAGAUGGAUUGAACGACGAUGGUCUCUGUCUCCUUUUGAUACGCAAUCUUUAAAUGAAGUCUUUUUAGGCUUAUUGUGGUUCCCACUCAUCUACUUCUCAUCUACAUCUACUGAGACAAUUAAUCCCCGAGAUGGGCGAAACACGUACAGGUCGCUUUCUGUUUUCUUACAUGAUAACGAAUUUUAAAAACGAGACACAUUUGAAGAGUUUGCUGCUAUGUACUAGUAGACUUAGACUUUUUCAUUAAUAUUGCUUACACUGCAUAUCGCACAAUCCAGCAGUGCAACAAACAUGGCAGUCAGAUAAUUAUUAGCGACACACCUGAUUGCACUCUUCUUUUUUAAGAACUCAACUUUACCUAGGCAUACCUUUGAAACUGAAAUAAUCCACAUUAAAUGUCACGUCUGUCCAUGUAUGGCUGUUCUAGCAAUUGUAGGAUACAUGUAAGUGUUCCGAUUAAAUUACACUUGAAAUGUUAGCAUCAAUCUACAAUCACACCUCGGUUUAUACUAGAUUCAGUUUGGUUUGCUCAUUUACCAAUAAUGAAACAACUUCUGCGAGGAGGCAUUCAAAGAUAAAACAAAAACGUAUAUUAGUGAAGUGGUAUUGUCAAGUUCAUAACUUCCAGAAAGCAGGGAUGAAUUCUAAACGUCAUUAUAUAUAUAUUAACAAUUAACCGGUACAUGUUGGUUAAGGACCUUUUUUUCUGAAUUUCUGAUAUUGAACAUAGCAUAUGCAAGUUUGACAUGUAUGUUUUAAUAAUAUCUCAAAAAUGUACAUUCGUUUAUUGCUAUAUCAUCUUGAGUGGAAUAACAGUUUUUUAUUUCUUUAAAAACACAACGUGCCUUCAAAGCACACU